rnacentral:tRNA from 1 species
GAAGGGAUGGCUCAGUGGUAGACCAUGUGCUUAGCAUGCAGGAGGUCCUGGGUUCAAUCCCCAGUACCUCCA